CCUACGGGUGGCAGCAGUGAGGAAUAUUGGUCAAUGGGCGCGAGCCUGAACCAGCCAAGUCGCGUGAGGGAUGACGGUCCUAUGGAUUGUAAACCUCUUUUGUCGGGGAGCAAAAGACGCCACGUGUGCCGUUUUGCGUGUACCUUAAGCAUAAGCAUCGGCUAACUCCGUGCCAGCAGCCGCGGUAAUCCGGGGGAUGCGAGCUUUAUCCGGAUUUAUUGGGUUUAAAGGGUGCGCAGGCGGGAUGUAAAGUCAGCGGUAAACUUUGGGGGCUCAACCCCAGCGAGCAGUUGAGACUGGUAGUCUUGAGUACGCGAGAAGUAUGCGGAAUGCGUGGUGUAGCGGUGAAAUGCAUAGAUAUCACGCAGAACUCCGAGUGCGAAGGCAGCAUACCGGCGCUCAACUGACGCUGAUGCACGAAAGUGUGGGUAUCGAACAGGAUUAGAUACCCGGGUAGUC
rnacentral:rRNA from 1 species